rnacentral:rRNA from 1 species
GAUGAACACUGGCGGUGUGCCUAAUACAUGCAAGUCGAGCGAACAGACGAGGAGCUUACUCCUCUGACGUUAGCGGCGGACGGGUGAGUAACACGUGGAUAACCUACCUAUAAGACUGGGAUAACUUCGGGAAACCGGAGCUAAUACCGGAUAACAUGUUGAACCGCAUGGUUCAACAGUGAAAGACGGUCUUGCUGUCACUUAUAGAUGGAUCCGCGUCGCAUUAGCUAGUUGGUAAGGUAACGGCUUACCAAGGCAACGAUGCGUAGCCGACCUGAGAGGGUGAUCGGCCACACUGGAACUGAGACACGGUCCAGACUCCUACGGGAGGCAGCAGUAGGGAAUCUUCCGCAAUGGGCGAAAGCCUGACGGAGCAACGCCGCGUGAGUGAAGAAGGUCUUCGGAUCGUAAAACUCUGUUAUUAGGGAAGAACAAAUGUGUAAGUAACUAUGCACGUCUUGACGGUACCUAAUCAGAAAGCCACGGCUAACUACGUG